rnacentral:rRNA from 1 species
AAUGAACGCUGGCGGCGUGCAUAACACAUGCAAGUCGAACGAGAAACCCUGGGCUUGCUCAGGGGAGUAAAGUGGCGAACGGGUGAGUAGCGCGUGAGUAACCUACCCCUGAAUUCGGGAUAACUUCGCGAAAGCGUUGCUAAUACCGGAUACUGUCCCGGGGACUUCGGUCCCCGUGAUGAAAGGUGACCUCUUCACGAAAGUUGCCGUUGAGGGAGGGGCUCGCGUACCAUUAGCUAGUUGGUAGGGUAAUGGCCUACCAAGGCGAUGAUGGUUAGCUGGUCUGAGAGGAUGAUCAGCCACACUGGAACUGAAACACGGUCCAGACUCCUACGGGAGGCAG